GGACGAACGCUGGCGGCGUGCUUAACACAUGCAAGUCGAACGGAAAGGCCCUGCUUUUGUGGGGUGCUCGAGUGGCGAACGGGUGAGUAACACGUGAGUAACCUGCCCUUGACUUUGGGAUAACUUCAGGAAACUGGGGCUAAUACCGGAUAGGAGCUCCUGCUGCAUGGUGGGGGUUGGAAAGUUUCGGCGGUUGGGGAUGGACUCGCGGCUUAUCAGCUUGUUGGUGGGGUAGUGGCUUACCAAGGCUUUGACGGGUAGCCGGCCUGAGAGGGUGACCAGCCACAUUGGGACUGAGAUACGGCCCAGACUCCUACGGGAGGCAGCAGUGGGGAAUAUUGCACAAUGGGCGGAAGCCUGAUGCAGCAACGCCGCGUGCGGGAUGACGGCCUUCGGGUUGUAAACCGCUUUCGCCUGUGACGAAGCGUGAGUGACGGUAAUGGGUAAAGAAGCACCGGCUAACUACGUG
rnacentral:rRNA from 1 species